ensembl:lncRNA
GGGAGAGAAAGGGGAAGGGCUUUACUCCUGCUUCUUUUUUCCAUUAGGAGCACUGAGAGGCAAACAGUGAAUGUGAUGCUGUGCAGGUCUGCCAGUCUCUUCAGUAUCCCCACACCUCAACCUAAAAAUACGUAUGGAAGAAGAAGUUAUAAAAUGUCUGUAACAAGUUUGGUGACUCAGUUCUGUUCAUUUGUAGGUAUUACAUCUCCAGCAACCUAAGCAGAUUCAUCAGUAACUUAAAAUAGUGUUCUUCAUUCUAAUAUCGCUGCUAAUAAUGAUGUCAUUAUCAUGGCUUUGGCGAGUUUUUGCGGUGUGUCAAGGAAGGAAUGGAAAGUAUCUGCUGAAGCAUUUUGCUUGGAGGUGCCCUUCACCAGCAGCACCAUAUGCUUGGAAGCUUGAGGCAGAAUCAAUACUUAAAUGGAUUGCUGUGCACGGUGGAAGAUCUCACUUUAUUGCUCACUCCAACAUCUACAGCUCCCUGCUGCAGUUUUUGCCUGCCCUUGGGCUUCACAGGGAUUUUACUUGUCAGUAUGAAAACCUGCUGGAGGUGGCAAACAUUUCACAGGCAUAAGAAGAUAAGAAAUCAGCUCCAGAUUGCUAGAAUUUCGAUAAGAUAAUGAGCACAUGACCUGAGGACCUGACAUCCACACAGUGAAAGUGUGGAGCAUAUCGUGAUCUCCAUGGCUCAGGUGCUCAUUUGUGGCUCUAAGGUGCAUUCCCAGAGAAUAUCUUUUGGUUCUGUUUAAUACAAAAUUAAAUCAAUUUCAUGUGCAAUUCCAUGUUAUGAAGGAAAGUGCAGCAAAUAUAACUAAGAAAUUCUCUACCAAAACAAGCUAUGAUUUAAACUAAAACUGUAAUGUGGACCAUUGUUCUAUGUCCAUCUCAACUACUCUAGUAGGAAGAUAAUAGUUCCCACUUACUUCUGGGAAAUACUAAAAAUUGUACUAUACAAGGAACUGUAAAAAUAUAUUGUAGGUCAGUCCUGAUGUUGUAGGAAGCUGGAAAUGGCUGCAGUAUGUGUUUCAAGACUGUAAAUUGGGUUCUCUUGAGAAGACACCAGCAAGGUAUAUUUCCCACGUCAAACAAGUUGCCUUAUGGCCCAGUGGAGUUUCUUACCAUCCAGAAAAUAAUGUUUCCAACUUAGAUGAGUUUCCUGUGAUUGUUCAGGCCUUUGUGAAACUAGAUACCAGUCUUCAGGUCAAGGAGAAGCUCCAGCAUUCUCAUGAACUAUAACCAGGAGCAGAAAGCAACCAAACAGAGCUACCAAGGAAAUGAACUGAGCUCUCAACAUUCCCAUUGCUACCUUUGUUUACUCUGAUGGGAAGGAAGAAAGUAAAACAAGAGAAGACAUGAUCUAGUGGUCUUCCUCUGCCAUCCACCUUGGUAAGCACUGCCUUGGAAUGAACUUUUAUUUAUGACACGUGAACAAGCUAGAGACCAGGAUCCAGAAGUGAACAGGGGACUCGGUUCUUCUGAUGUAGCUGUUCAGAUUGUCUCAUCUACCUACUGAAACACACGUUAACAGACUUUUUUGGAGCAUGAAAUUAAAAGCUAACAUGUUAAGGAUUUUU